UACGUAGGGCGCAAGCGUUGUCCGGAAUUAUUGGGCGUAAAGAGCUCGUAGGCGGCCUGUUGCGUCCGCUGUGAAAUCCCGGGGCUUAACCCCGGGCUUGCAGUGGAUACGGGCAGGCUGGAGGCAGGCAGGGGAGAACGGAAUUCCUGGUGUAGCGGUGGAAUGCGCAGAUAUCAGGAGGAACACCGAUGGCGAAGGCAGAUCUCUGGGCCGUAACUGACGCUGAGGAGCGAAAGCGUGGGGAGCGAACAGG
rnacentral:rRNA from 1 species